CUCUUGCCUGCGCUUUUCCUUCUCUAAUCAGCUGUGCGGUUUCUCCAGUGAUGGUUGCUUCCGCUGCUGCUCGGUCCGGCUGCCGUCGUCGGGGCCGCUCUGCUGGUAUUCGAGCCGCUGUUAUUGCCCGUGUCCGCCAUGCUGCUGGCCGUCUUUCUUCGCCGGAUUUUCCGUCGCCGGCAAACGCUGGUGCGCGUGGCCGGCUGGCUGAUUCGGGAUGCCGUGUCCGGUCCGGGGCUCACCGGCCGUUUCAUUCUUUCCGGACUGGUGUGCACCGAUUAGAUUCGCGGCGAGAUGUUAAUGUGGACGUUGAUAGUCGCCGUCGGGAGAUUUCAUUAGGGAAGCGGCCUGUGGAUUGUACCAUUGACACUUCGCCUGUCGAAGUGGUUGACGGAUCGAGUAUUUGUGUUUCUGGUUUUCCUGCUGGUGUUCAUCUUUAUGGCUCUUUGGUUGGUGCUACGACUUUCCGUUGCCGUCCAAGAGUGGUGCCCGUAUGUGCCGCCGGUACCUUUGGUCGGCCUACUUCUCUUGAGCACUCUCGUGUUGUGUGUGCUCACCGUAAGCGGACUUUGGUGUGAUCGUACUGGUCGGGCCGGAAAAGAGUACGUGGGAUGCAACCUCCGUUUUCUAAAGAUUACAUCCAACUGCUUAAGGCUACUUUUAGGGGGCGUUCGUAUUAUGGUGGACCGGAUUUGUGCUGCCGGAAAUGUGGGGCUUUCUUUAUCCUGAAAUUGUCGCCGCCCUGAUAAAUAUGCCGAAUACACAUCACCGUUUGGUGGACACGUUCAGAAUUGCUCGAUAGAGUCUGCACCCCUGGUGUUUCUAAGGUGUCCAUUCGUUUUUUUGGUGAUGACGGUGGUGCUCAUGGUACACGUUUUUCUGGUCAUACUGCUUCUGAGGUUGCCGCGCUCAUUGUUGGUGACUUGACGCCUGAAUGUAGAAAUUUUGAUGUGGUUGCAGAAACACGUUCUGGUUCAUUGAAGCAUGUAUCUUCACUGAAUUGCAAUCUUAUGGCUUUGCAAUAUCCUAUACUAUUUCCAUAUUGUGAUAAGAGUUAUCAUCGUGGUAUUAGAUAUGUUGAUGGUAAUGAACAUUUGAUUGUUUCCCAAUGCAACUGUGUUAGCUGUGGACACUUGGAUAGCGACAAUGUUGACCGUGAUUUGGAGGAUGGGGAUGUCACCCGUGGUCAGAUUACUAUGUUGGAGUACUACAAAUACUAUGCUCACUAUCGUGAAGGUGAAAUUAAUCCUUAUACAAGUUGCAGUUGUUUGAGCUAGCAGAUUGCCGUUAAUGCAUAUUCUUGUGUAGAGGCUGAUCGGUUGGAGUACCAUUUCCAUAAACAAGAUAAACUUCAUUCUGAAUCUUAUCGGGGCAUAUCUGAUGCAAUGGGUGUACAAUAAUAAGUGUGCUUGCAUGAAGAAUGAUUGUUGUUCCAAGUGCUUUCCAAAGCCAUUUAGUGAUGAUACAAUGGUUGAUCGUGUUGGCUAUCCGGUUUACCGUCGUUCUGAUAACGGGCUUUAUGUGCUCAGACAGAAAGACUUACUUUAUUUGGGAAAUCAAUGGGUUGUUCCAUACAACAUGAAAUUGUUGAAGAGGUUUGACGCCCACAUAAAUGUGGAGUGGUGUAACAGGACAAAUUUAUUGAAAUACCUGUUUAAAUAUCUUACAAAGGGUCAUGAUGUGGUUCAUAUGCGUUUCUACGCUCAAGAUAAACCUAGCAGUGUUUUUAUUGUGCCUUCUCCUACUGGCGGAAACGAGAUUGACCAGUACAUCAAAUGUACGUUCGCAGAUAGAUUUAGUUAAAUUUAUGUAACUUGUUGUAGUGUUGUUAUAAUUGUUGAACAUAUGGCUAGGUAUCUUUCUGCUUGUGAGGCUUUUUGGAGACUGUUUGCAUAUAAUAUUCAUGGUCGUCAACCUUCCGUCGAGAGAUUGGUUGUGCAUAUACCUAAUAUGAACAGGGUCAUAUUUGCCGAGACUGAUAACCUAGGAAAUGUUUUGGAUGAUCCUUCGGCUGCUAAAACUAUGCUUACUGAAUGGUUUGCUGCCACCAAAAGCAUGUGUCUGCUAGGUCUUUAACAUACCUUGAUUUUCCAAGUCAGUGGGUUAGGAAUAAAAGUGGUAAGCUGUGGACUAAGCAGAAGAUUAACAAGAAGCAAAAGAAAGAGCAGCUGAAAUGGCUUUAGAAGAUUUUCAAAAGGAUAGUUUCAGAGAAUCCUCCAUAACAUACGAAGGAGAACCAGCAAAUACAGAAGAUGGAGUAAAAGAAAAAGCGGCUGAAAUGGCUUUAGAAUGUAUCUGUGCAGAUUAUAAUAUUUCCGUCAAUGAUCAUAAUUACUAUGCUCUUGAAGUUACAAAGGAAAAAACUUUUUGCAGAGCACAGACAAAGCAAUGGCAGUUCAAUAUGGCCCGUCAGCAAGUAGCUACACAGCAAAACAAGCUUACAAGACAAACAAUAAUCCUAGCAAAAAUAUGCAACAACUUGUUUGAUAUAUUGCCACUUUUAAGACAAACAAGUAGUACCCUCAGCACCCAAACAGCGAUGAUCCUGUCAUCACGUACACAGGCGCGCAUCCUCCUGUUGGACGUGUACAAGCAUUUGCAAAAUAUCUGUACCACUUUAUCACAAACACCAAUCCUGCAGGAGGAUAUACGAGGAUGAUGUAAUCUAUCGGAGAUUGCUUUUAACUUACGAUGUAAUCCAUCGGAGAUUGUUUUUAACUUACUUACACGUUGUGAUGUUUGUGUCUCUAUAUAUAGUCCACUACGUAGAAUGGACUGUAUAUAGUUUGAAUAAUUAGUUUGUUUGAUGAGUGUGCCACUUUUAAUUGCUCUCUUUGUACCCAUCCAUUUGCAAGAUUUUAAUAAAUUUGCAUCUUUUGU